UACGAAGGGGGCUAGCGUUGCUCGGAAUCACUGGGCGUAAAGCGCACGUAGGCGGCUUUCUAAGUCAGGGGUGAAAUCCUGGAGCUCAACUCCAGAACUGCCUUUGAUACUGAGGAUCUUGAGUUCGGGAGAGGUGAGUGGAACUGCGAGUGUAGAGGUGAAAUUCGUAGAUAUUCGCAAGAACACCAGUGGCGAAGGCGGCUCACUGGCCCGAUACUGACGCUGAGGCACGAAAGUGUGGGGAUCAAACAGG
rnacentral:rRNA from 1 species